rnacentral:rRNA from 1 species
UACGUAGGGUGCAAGCGUUGUCCGGAAUUAUUGGGCGUAAAGAGCUCGUAGGCGGUCUGUCGCGUCGGAUGUGAAAAUCCAGGGCUCAACCCUGGACCUGCAUUCGAUACGGGCAGACUAGAGUUCGGUAGGGGAGACGUGGAAUUCCUGGUGUAGCGGUGAAAUGCGCAGAUAUCAGGAGGAACACCGUGGUCGGAAGGCGGGAUCCUGGGCCAGUACUGACGCUGAGGAGCGAAAGCGUGGGGAGCAAACAGG